rnacentral:tRNA from 1 species
GGUGCUUUGGCCGAGCGGUUAGGCAGUGGUCUGCAACACCAUCUACAGCGGUUCGAAUCCGCUAGGCACCU